UCUUCCCCUAGAAGCACUGCAGGUGUGGCUGCUGUGUCCCAUGUGUGUCAGUAGGUGGCAGAGAGGAGAGAGGCUCUGCCUACCCUCGAUGUUCUGGUCUAUGAACAUCUGAAUGAUUAGUAGUCUAAUGCU
ensembl:snoRNA